CAGUAGCCACGGUAAUACGUAGGUGGCAAGCGUUGUCCGGAAUUAUUGGGCGUAAAGGGCUCGCAGGUGGUUUCUUAAGUCUGAUGUGAAAGCCCCCGGCUCAACCGGGGAGGGUCAUUGGAAACUGGGAAACUUGAGUGCAGAAGAGGAGAGUGGAAUUCCACGUGUAGCGGUGAAAUGCGUAGAGAUGUGGAGGAACACCAGUGGCGAAGGCGACUCUCUGGUCUGUAACUGACGCUGAGGAGCGAAAGCGUGGGGAGCGAACAGGAUUAGAGACCCCGGUAGUCCCUGUCUCUUAUAC
rnacentral:rRNA from 1 species